rnacentral:lncRNA from 1 species
UUCUCCUUUCUGCAGUUUCGUAUUUGCUGAACAUUAGUAAUUCUCAUUCAUAAUAUAUAUAACCAGUCAUUUGAUGUACAGAGAGUAAUCAUGCUGCUUACUGGGGUCAGGGCAGUGUAGAUGUAUAGCCCAGUUAAUUCAUGAAUGUAAUUCAAUAUGUAAAGCCAGCUGUUCUCACUGCACACACCGAGUUCAAGUCAGUUAUGGUCUUCAAAUGCGCAUGAUGAGUAAUUUGACAGUGCAACCGACCACAACACUCACAUUUCGCAACUUGGAUGCAUGUUCACAUUAUAGAUCACCCUCCAUCCUUGCGCUAGAACAUGCCAUCUAGUGAUGUUAGCAUGUAUAUGCAUCGACGCAGUCCUUCCAGGAUGAUGUUAGCGUUGUCCUCGUGCUUGUAUCGCAUCUCUUCUUCAGACUCAAAAUUCUUACCACGUAACUUACCACAAUCUUGAAGAAAACUAUUCCUCUUACCAUGCUAUGGUGUUAAUAUACGGCAAUGAAAGGACAUCAUUCAAAUUCUAACAUCAUAGCAGUAAAAAUAAAAUCUAACCACCAUCAUACAAACUCUCUUUGCAGAAUAUGAACUCUCCUCUCACCAUCCACACCUUCAACUGAAAAUGUUAGACAUGUUAUAAAGACAUGUCUUCAUACAUUUAGCAAUCAUUAUGUAAGCUCGCCGUGAGCAAAAGAACUUUCACACCAGCUAUGUGGGGUGCAAGUUAAACAGGUCACGUCCAGACCAAAGUAUAAGUUUUGCUUUACAUGCAUGUAACUAUCGCUGAACACACAUCAGGAAUUUGGGGACUGCCAUAGCAGCAUCUGGCAUGACAGCUAUCACCGGCUCGAAGUAUCAAAAUAUAACCUAGGGGUCGUCAUCAAGAGUUGCAUCUUCAGGAUCCAACUACCUUCGCGAUCACCUCUAACUUGUCAGAACUGCACCUCCGAGAUCAUGAAAUCAGGCACCUCGGGGUAGACAUGUGACCACUGAUUGCGAAAAAUAUGUAAUCAACUCCACCUAGCUUUUAUGCAGUGCUUCAGAUUGCCCCGCUUUGUUCAUCAGAUCUAUCAUUUUCCAUGUAAACAGUAUGUAAACCGUUUUCCACACAACCACAUGACACAGAACAUAUUUUUGUAAUUAAUUCUAUGAUUCCUGCUAUUUUCCAUUUUUUACUUCAAAGGUGUUUCAAUGUUUUAUAUUCAGUAAACUAAAACCAAACUUAAUUGCUUUUACAAGAUGGAUAAUCCAAUCCCAUUUGUUAUUUCAAGUCACAGUGUCUCCACUUCAGAAGUACAAUUUCAACAUAUUUGCUUGAAACACCAGGCUGGAGGCUAACAGUAAGAAAUUCAAGACGGACACAACAUACUUAAUAUGCCGUCAUAAUACAGAAGCUGCCUCUAGUUGUCAGAUGUCCAGUUUACAAUGGUUUCACCCAGUUGAAUUAUACAUUCAAUUAUGAAAACCAUUCCAAGUGUUAAUUAACACGUUACAUCUACCUAUGCUUCACAUGUCUAUUAACCACAGUUGCCUACAGCAAUCCAUUCUGAAAAUGCAAUUUGAGCAAGACCACUCAAGCACACUAUUUUAAAGUGGGCAAUUAGACCAAUCGAUUGCAUUAAAAACUGUCUGUCUCAACCUUAUAUAGAAUAGGGUUUCUAGUCUGUACUCAAUGGAAGGUACAUGUUCAAAUAGAGAAACUGACCUUUAAAACUGCCGGCAAAGUAAGCUUUCAUAGAAUUAAAAACUCUACUGCUGCAUUGCAGCCAACGUUUUUCUAAGUUAUUUAUGAGUGUACCAAUCCUGUUGUAGUGUAACAAUAACUACAAAACAUCAUUCGGUUGUAUUAUAUAUGAUGACUUGAUGAGUAGUCCCAAUGCAUCAAGAAACAGAAAACAAAUACCAAAUUAUGGACAGCUUGACACAUUCUGUCAAAUUGGUACUCCAGCCCACACUAACUCCAUUACUCAUAGCAACAAACCAAUGUUAAUAUAAUUAUGUAUUUUAAUUCAGGGACAUGGAUACUGCAUGUGUAACCUAAAUUGCAGACCUGCGCAACCUCAUAAUUUUUGAAGUGCGGUAGUACAAUUUAUUUUCCAGCUGCAUUAUCUAUGCCAUCCCCUUUCUAACGACAUUUACAGCCUUAGUUCAUGAAGGUUCAUAUGUUCAUCACAGUUUAUAAAUUGUACCUAUCCGCAUUUUAACUAUUUCAGAAAGUUUCUAGGCUAGCUGCUCGUCCCGGGGUAAACCAAAUUCUAAGAUGAACAGCUACAAGUAUUAUGCUAGCCCCCCUGUAAUGACAAUUGCAUUUUGAGUUCUACAAACUCCAUAGCUGAUUAAGAGCAUACCUUCGCAUUCAUCCUGGAGCUUUUGGGUCCAUCUGACCAAUUGACUGUUCGCAUCAAAUAUCUUAAUGCAGUAAGCACGCAACACCCAAAGCAACUCACUCCCUUUUCACGAUUUGUCAGUCAUGUCUAUAGUUUUCCCACAAAUUCGAACACUGAUGAUGGAAUCAAGCAGUUUUACACCUACUGCUUAUUCCACCCGGGCGCUUGCGGAUUCAUCUUGCCCAUUGACAGCUCC